rnacentral:rRNA from 1 species
UUAAAGCUAAUCUGAGCAGGGUUAGCCGGCCCCUAAGACGAGGCGGAAACGCGUAGUCGAUGGGAACCACGUUAAUAUUCGUGGGCUUGGAGGUAGUGACGGAUCAUUGAGGUAGUCCAAUCUUAUCGGAUUGAACGGGCUGCUGCGUGGUUCCAGGAAAUAGCUCCUCCUUAUAAACCGUACCCGAAACCGACACUGGUGGUCUGGUAGAGUAUACCAAGGCGCUUGAGAGAACUAUGCUGAAGGAACUCGGCAAAUUGCACGCGUAACUUCGGAAGAAGCGUGACCCUUUUCUACGCAAGUAGAGGAGGGUGGCACAGACCAGGGGGUAGCGACUGUUUAUCAAAAACACAGGGCUCUGCGAAGUCGCAAGACGACGUAUAGGGUCUGACGCCUGCCCGGUGCUGGAAGGAUAAGAGGAGGGGUGCAAGCUCUGAAUCGAAGCCCCAGUAAACGGCGGCCGUAACAAUAACGGUCCUAAGGUAGCGAAAUUCCUUGUCGGGUAAGUUCCGACCUGCACGAAUGGCGUAACGACUUCCCCGCUGUCUCCAGCAUAGACUCAGUGAAAUUGAAUUCCCCGUGAAGAUGCGGGGUUCCUGCGGUUAGACGGAAAGACCCCGUGCACCUUUACUAUAGCUUUACAUUGGCAUUCGUAGUGGCAUGUGUAGGAUAGGUGGUAGGCUUUGAAACCUGGGCGCCAGCUCAGGUGGAGCCACCCUUGAAAUACCACCCUUAUUACUAUGGAUGUCUAACCGCGGCCCGUUAUCCGGGUCCGGGACAAUGUAUGGUGGGUAGUUUGACUGGGGCGGUCGCCUCCUAAAGAGUAACGGAGGCGCGCGAUGGUGGGCUCAGAACGGUCGGAAAUCUUUCGCUGAGUGCAAUGGCAUAAGCCUGCCUGACUGCGAGACUGACAAGUCGAGCAGAGACGAAAGUCGGUCAUAGUGAUCCGGUGGUCCCGCGUGGAAGGGCCAUCGCUCAACGGAUAAAAGGUACGCCGGGGAUAACAGGCUGAUGACCCCCAAGAGUCCAUAUCGACGGGGUUGUUUGGCACCUCGAUGUCGACUCAUCGCAUCCUGGGGCUGGAGCAGGUCCCAAGGGUAUGGCUGUUCGCCAUUUAAAGCGGUACGUGAGUUGGGUUCAGAACGUCGUGAGACAGUUCGGUCCCUAUCUGCCGUGGGUGUAGGAAUAUUGAAAGGAUCUGUCCCUAGUACGAGAGGACCGGGAUGGACGGAUCUCUGGUGGACCUGUUGUGGCGCCAGCCGCAUAGCAGGGUAGCUAUAUCCGGACGGGAUAACCGCUGAAGGCAUCUAAGCGGGAAACCCACCUUAAAACGAGUAUUCCCUGAGAACCGUGGAAGACGACCACUUUGAUAGGCCGGGUGUGGAAGAGCGGCAACGCUUGAAGCUUACCGGUACUAAUAGUUC